GUCUACGGCCAUGCCACCCUGAACACGCCCGAUCUCGUCUGAUCUCAGAAGCUAAGCAGGGUCGGGCCUGGUUAGUACUUGAAUGGGAAAUCACGUAGGAAUAUCAGGCUUUAAAAAAA
rnacentral:rRNA from 1 species